UACGUAGGCAGCAAGCGUUGUUCGGAGUUACUGGGCGUAAAGGGUGUGUAGGCGGUUAUUUAAGUUUGGUGUGAAAUCUCCCGGCUCAACCGGGAGGGUGCGCCGAAUACUGAAUGACUUGGAGUGCGGGAGAGGAAAGUGGAAUUCCUGGUGUAGCGGUGAAAUGCGUAGAUAUCAGGAGGAACACCGGUGGUGUAGACGGCUUUCUGGACCGUAACUGACGCUGAGACACGAAAGCGUAGGUAGCAAACAGG
rnacentral:rRNA from 1 species